UGAGCAAUCUGCCCUUCUCAUCGGAAUAAGCGUUGGAAACGACGUCUAAUGCCGAAUACGACCUCCUUUCGCAUGAUCGGAGGUGGAAAGCUCCGGCGGAGAAGGAUGA
rnacentral:rRNA from 1 species